rnacentral:lncRNA from 1 species
GUGUUUGGAGACACGAUGUCUAAAUAAUAAAGCUUGGAGAAUGUGGGCAUCGAUCCCACUACCUCUUGCGUGCUAAGCAAGCGCUCUACCACUUGAGCUAAUUCCCCACAUCAGGGCAGCAUUAUUUAUUGUUAGCAGGUGGCCUGGAACACAGGUGAUUUCAGGGCCUUCAGCAGGAAAGCAGGGCUCUAAGAGCAGAUCUUCUCAUUGAUGGGCCAGGGCAAACAGCAGUGGCUACUCAUUGUCUGCAAAGAAGGAGGAGAAAAGGGAACAAGGAGAAAGUCACAACGGGAAAACUUCACGCUGCCAAAAUGCCAAGUUUAGAGUAUUCCGGGACAGAAAAGGGCACGUCCUAGCAAAGGAGGACCUGCCUAGACAUGCCCAGAUAACUCUAUUUGAAAGCCUUGACACUGCGGAUGAGAGAUCUCUGGAGUGUGUGCAACCAGUGGUCAGUGAGGACUGGAAAGUGGACCAUUGUUUAGUUCAGUCCUCAGGCUCUUUUUAGGCACACAAUUGCCUUGUAUUUAAGCUCCAAGUACCAACCAGACUUUCAUGUGUUGUCGUUUCAAAGAUAACUCUAUUUGAAAGCCUUGACACUGCUGUUCAGAGAUCUCCAAAG